rnacentral:tRNA from 1 species
AUUAUUUUGUCAGAUAAUUGUAAUAAAUUUAGAAUUUAUAAAUGUAGAUAUAUUACUACAAAUAAUA